GAAGGAAGUACAGAUCUGAAGUGGCUCUUACCCAUCUGAGGAUCAGCUGUCUCUCUGGAGGCCAGUUUUUGUCUCUACAGACACAUGGAACUUCCAUUGACAUGUGGCCCCCAGGCCUCAGAGAGGGUUUCAAUGGCCCUGGCUCAAACAGUUUCCACCUGUGCUUUGCAUCCUAACCCUUCAGCUCACUGUGGACAAUAGACUGGGUGAGGGUUGAAGGACGUGAGUAAAUUUCCCAAACUAUGGUAGUGUCUCCCUUGGUCAAGUUAAUGGGUUGUUUUUGAGCACUUUAAGAAUGUAUUUUUCUGGGCAUAUCCUAGUUUAAGGGUUGGAGGUCAUUCCUGAAUUAUGAGUACCAUGGUCACUUUGGCUAAAGAAAACAUCCUUUCACAGAAGCUUCCUUGCACACAUCCAUGGUUUCCAGGUCAGUGGCAGUGGGUCUUGGGCCAAGUCAUGACUCCCAACCCCAGUGAGGAGCCUGGGGCUGCUGCACAGAACUUCUGUGGGGGGACACUCAGUGGGUCCUGACAUUGUAGAGCAGGCCUAACAGCAACACUCACAUAGGGUCAGCCCUCUGCUCACUGGAACUGUAACCUCCAUUAUAGGUAUUGCUCUGAGUAAACAGAAAGAAAAAUGUGACAGCUAUUCAUAAUGUCCCCAACAAACUUUAUCAAUGACCAAGAACCCAGAGAUACUGAGAGUCAUCAUGGCUAGUGAGAGUGGCCCAUGUUCCUCUGCAUCCCUCAACUGGAUCCUAGAGGAUCAAUACCUAUGAAGGAGAGCCCCUGUUCCCAUCUCUGAGAGCUGACCUAGAGGCUGUUCCUCACAGGUCCUAGAAUAUUGCCUUUUAGAUGCUCCAGACAGCCUGGGUCCCCAAAUGAUGCAACUUGUGACCCAAAGAAAAUGGCUUGUUGCUCUAACAAGACACCUGCUCUUGUCUCACCCCAUGACAACUGGGGCUGGCCAGACAUUACCUGGUGAACCUCA
rnacentral:lncRNA from 1 species